rnacentral:rRNA from 1 species
CCUACGGGAGGCAGCAGUGAGGAAUAUUGGUCAAUGGCCGCAGGGCUGAACCAGCCAAGUCGCGUGAGGGAUGACGGUCCUAUGGAUUGUAAACCUCUUUUGUCAGGGAGCAAAGGGCGCCACGUGUGGCGUUUUGCGAGUACCUGAAGAAAAAGCAUCGGCUAACUCCGUGCCAGCAGCCGCGGUAAUACGGAGGAUGCGAGCGUUAUCCGGAUUUAUUGGGUUUAAAGGGUGCGCAGGCGGAAUGUCAAGUCAGCGGUAAAAUUUCGGGGCUCAACCCCGUCGUGCCGUUGAACCUGGCGGUCUUGAGUGAGCGAGAAGUAUGCGGAAUGCGUGGUGUAGCGGUGAAAUGCAUAGAUAUCACGCAGAACUCCGAUUGCGAAGGCAGCAUACCGGCGCUCAACUGACGCUCAUGCACGAAAGCGUGGGUAUCGAACAGGAUUAGAUACCCUUGUAGUC